UACGAAGGGGGGCGAGCGUUGUUCGGAUUUACUGGGCGUAAAGGGCGCGCAGGCGGCGCAUUUUUGUCAGGCGUGAAAGCCCCGGGCUUAACCUGGGAACUGCGUUUGAUACGGAUGGGCUAGAGUUCGGGAGAGGAGAGUGGAAUUCCCAGUGUAGAGGUGAAAUUCGUAGAUAUUGGGAAGAACACCGGUGGCGAAGGCGGCUCUCUGGACCGAGACUGACGCUGAGGCGCGAAAGCGUGGGAGCAACAGGAUUAAGAAACCUGGAGUACAGUA
rnacentral:rRNA from 1 species